rnacentral:rRNA from 1 species
UACGAAGGGGGCUAGCGUUGUUCGGAAUUACUGGGCGUAAAGCGCGCGCAGGCGGCUCUUCAAGUCAGGGGUGAAAGCCCAGAGCUCAACUCUGGAACUGCCCUUGAAACUGUGGAGCUUGAGUACGGUAGAGGUGAGUGGAAUUCCCAGUGUAGAGGUGAAAUUCGUAGAUAUUGGGAAGAACACCGGUGGCGAAGGCGGCUCACUGGACCGUUUCUGACGCUCAUGCGCGACAGCGUGGGGAUCAAACAGG